rnacentral:rRNA from 1 species
ACUCCUACGGGAGGCAGCAGUAGGGAAUUGUCGGCAAUGGGCGCAAGCCUGACCGCGCGACGCCGCGUGGAGGAAGAAGGCCUUCGGGUUGUAAACUCCUUUUAUGAGGGACGAUUAUGACGGUACCUCAUAAUA